rnacentral:sRNA from 1 species
UGGAGAGUGGAGAGCUCCAUACUCAGACACAGAACAGGUACAGCACAGGCAGUGGCAGUGCGAGCUUCCACACACCACCCCAACCCAUGUGCUUCGACCUUGUUCUGCAGGGGCCGCCUCUAGAGGUAAGAGGGUGACUGAGAUUUGUCACUUUCCAUCCUUGUCUUCU